rnacentral:rRNA from 1 species
UGCCAGACUCCUACGGGAGGCAGCAGUGGGGAAUAUUGCACAAUGGGGGAAACCCUGAUGCAGCGACGCCGCGUGAGCGAUGAAGUAUUUCGGUAUGUAAAGCUCUAUCAGCAGGGAAGAAGAUGACGGUACCUGACUAAGAAGCCCCGGCUAACUACGUGCCAGCAGCCGCGGUAAUACGUAGGGGGCAAGCGUUAUCCGGAUUUACUGGGUGUAAAGGGAGCGUAGACGGCGAUGCAAGCCAGAUGUGAAAGCCCGGGGCUCAACCCCGGGACUGCAUUUGGAACUGUGUGGCUGGAGUGUCGGAGAGGCAGGCGGAAUUCCUAGUGUAGCGGUGAAAUGCGUAGAUAUUAGGAGGAACACCAGUGGCGAAGGCGGCCUGCUGGACGAUGACUGACGUUGAGGCUCGAAAGCGUGGGGAGCAAACAGGAUUAGAUACCCUAGUAC